GCAGGGCAGGGGCAUGACACCCACCUCACAGAGAUGUGACGCUAACCUCUGAUCGGGGACAGAGCCACCCAACCCAUCUGACCAGAGGAAAAUCUGCAGACAAAAGUUCAAAAAAAUGUUAACAGUAGCAGUCUUGGGGAGGUGGGAUGAUGGAUGGCCUGCAUACCCUCUGCCACCUUCCUCUCAACUUCUGGCAAUUCAUGUAGCCAGAAACAUAAAGGCACAGAGUCGUCUGCAGGUGUGACAGGUGCUGGACUGCGCCCAAGCCGGUCAGUCAACUCAGGCUCUGGAUGUCCCCGUCAUGGAGCAGCCCCACAGCCAGGACUCCUGAGGCCGUGAUACACUCUCCUUGGAGAAAGAGAUUUUCAGCGGGUGACACUGGCCUGGCUGCGCGGAUGGCUGUGGCAAGUUCCUUGCACUCUCUGGGGUCACUUUCCUUAUCUGCUGACCCAGGACAACAGUGAUACCUGCCGCCCAGGGGCCCGGGGACAACUGAAUGGGUUAAAACACACAGUGGCCGUCUCCGAGAGUGUGUGUGACAGGUGCGACAGGGGUGCCUGCCCUGCAGAGGCCUGUGGUGACGUGGGCAGGACGGAUGGACGCACACACGCAGGACCACCGACUUGGCCGGUGAUGAAGAGGCUGGUGGGACGCAGGAAGAAGGUGCAGCAUUUCCUCGGACAGGCAGGUCUGCGGACCCUGCCCCCCACCCCUUCCCCCACCCCAGGAGAGGCCACCUGGCGGCGCGGGGCUGGGGUUUUGCUCUGAGCAGUGCGUCAGCCACCAGCGCCCAGCCUGGCUCCCGGCUCCCAGUCAAUAAAUAUUUGUUGAGCAAAUUAGUGAAAUCUCUCCUUCGGGUUGUGCUUCGGCCCUUGGGUGGCGCCGGGUGGCCGUCGCUGCCUCUGCCGUGCCCUGGACCCCACUAGGAAUCCCCAGGCCUCCCCGGGGCGAACUUGGCUGGUUUGUCCUGGGAACGGUGACAGGCCCACAUGCGGGGGGGGGACUCCUGACGGGUCCCGACAUGCCUCCUUCCCGGAGCUCCG
rnacentral:lncRNA from 1 species